AUUGAACGCUGGCGGCAGGCCUAACACAUGCAAGUCGAGCGGAUGAAGGGAGCUUGCUCCUGGAUUCAGCGGCGGACGGGUGAGUAAUGCCUAGGAAUCUGCCUGGUAGUGGGGGAUAACGUCCGGAAACGGGCGCUAAUACCGCAUACGUCCUGAGGGAGAAAGUGGGGGAUCUUCGGACCUCACGCUAUCAGAUGAGCCUAGGUCGGAUUAGCUAGUUGGUGGGGUAAAGGCCUACCAAGGCGACGAUCCGUAACUGGUCUGAGAGGAUGAUCAGUCACACUGGAACUGAGACACGCGGCCGACUCCUACGGGAGGCAGCAGUGUGGAAUAUUGGACAAUGGGCGAGAGCGUGAGCCAGCCACGCGGCGUGUGUGAAGAAGGUCUUCGGAUUGUAAAGCACUUUAAGUUGGGAGGAAGGGCAGUAAGUUAAUACCUUGCUGUUUUGACGUUACCAACAGAAUAAGCACCGGCUAACUUCGUG
rnacentral:rRNA from 1 species